rnacentral:tRNA from 1 species
GGAGAGAUGCCUGAGUGGUCGAAAGGACUCGCUUGGAGAGCGAGCAUAUGAGAAAUCAUAUCAUGGGUUCGAAUCCCAUUCUCUCCG